rnacentral:rRNA from 1 species
CCAGAUGGGAUUAGCUAGUAGGUGGGGUAACGGCUCACCUAGGCGACGAUCCCUAGCUGGUCUGAGAGGAUGACCAGCCACACUGGAACUGAGACACGGUCCAGACUCCUACGGGAGGCAGCAGUGGGGAAUAUUGCACAAUGGGCGCAAGCCUGAUGCAGCCAUGCCGCGUGUAUGAAGAAGGCCUUCGGGUUGUAAAGUACUUUCAGCGGGGAGGAAGGGAGUAAAGUUAAUACCUUUGCUCAUUGACGUUACCCGCAGAAGAAGCACCGGCUAACUCCGUGCCAGCAGCCGCGGUAAUACGGAGGGUGCAAGCGUUAAUCGGAAUUACUGGGCGUAAAGCGCACGCAGGCGGUUUGUUAAGUCAGAUGUGAAAUCCCCGGGCUCAACCUGGGAACUGCAUCUGAUACUGGCAAGCUUGAGUCUCGUAGAGGGGGGUAGAAUUCCAGGUGUAGCGGUGAAAUGCGUAGAGAUCUGGAGGAAUACCGGUGGCGAAGGCGGCCCCCUGGACGAAGACUGACGCUCAGGUGCGAAAGCGUGGGGAGCAAACAGGAUU